CAGAAGAAAGUCAGUCCUGCAGGAGCACGGCUGGCAGGGAGCUGCGGUGCCGCAGUGGGAGGGGGACUGCGAAGAUGAAGCUUCGAGUUAGGCUCUUCUUAACUCCUGGGGACUUUGAGAAAUGUUUGCAAAGACAUAUAAAGCCCAUUGGAUUGAUUAUAGAAUGUGGAAGGAAAGGGAAAAUCAGGAAGAAAUAACUCACAGGCUGCCCAGGCUCAUCUCCUCCCAGGAUCCUGAAGCCAAACCCAGACUCCAUUCUCCG